AUUGUCACACUUUGUCCCUUCUCCCUCUUCUCUCACGCAUACUCCCUCUUUUUCUAACUCAUUCAUUAGUUUCAAGAUCCACUCAUCUAAAGCAGCAACUUUUUCUCUCCCAAGGUCACAACAACAAUAACUCUCACCUCUCUCGCCUCCAUCUUCUUUAACAAGCAUAGCCCAUUUCCACCAUAACCAAAUUAAAGUCUAAGGUUUAGCUUUUCUUCUUGAUGUGAUUUUCGGAAACCUUAAUAGAAAUCCCAAAAGUUAAGGUUUCCCUCUAAUUUAUGUUAUGGCAAGUUAACCACCAAACCUCCUCCUCUCAAAUUAACUCAAGGCUCUAAUCAAGUGAUGGAAAAGUGGAUAUGGAGUUGAGCUAAUGAUUAUUCAGAAUUUAACGGUAAGAUUACAAGAUCUUCUUCUUACCCUUAAUUUCCAAUAUUUCUUUCCCUUUUUUGGAUCUAAACUCAUAAGUUCAUUUACUCCUCAAAUUGAUACUGCAUGUGUGUUUAUACUCGUGUGGAGAACGGGAAACAUUGUAAGAAAUAUGGAUUUCAAUAGUCAAGAGACCAUGGGUUUGGUUAUUCCAAGUUUUGGAGGAGAUUAACUGAUUUUCGUAUUCAAGGAUAGACCUGCACUAAAAAAGGUUUAUGUUUUGUGGCUGCAAAAUCUGUAUUUCGGCGAGCUCCGAAGAUGUCAUUAGCAUGGUUCAGGCGUCAUUUUCAGGGAUGGUGUCAGUGAGUCCCAGUUUAACCAAGUGUUGAACAUUGAACUGAGCCAAGUCAUUGAGGCUUGUAAAUUUCUGGAUGAAGCCUGGAAUCCCAAGUUUUUGGUGAUUGUUGCCCAGAAGAACCAUCACACAAAAUUCUUCCAGCCUGGAUCCCCAGAUAACGUGCCACCUGGAACUGUUGUUGACAACAAAAUUUGUCAUCCUAGAAAUUACGAUUUCUAUCUGUGUGCUCAUGCAGGAAUGAUUGGCACAAGCAGGCCAACACAUUAUCAUGUUCUUUUGGAUGAGAUUGGCUUUCCCCAGAUGAUUUACAGGAGCUUGUGCACUCACUUUCUUAUGUUUAUCAGCGGAGCACCACUGCUAUUUCUGUUGUUGCUCCAAUCUGCUAUGUGCACUUGGCUGCUUCCGAGGUUGGACAGUUCAUGAAGUUUGAGGAUAAGUCUGAAACUAACUCCCGCCAUGGUGGUGGUAACAAUGCCUCCCCUGUCCCUCAGUUGCCCAAGUUCAUAACUUCAUUUUGUCGUUUACUUUUCGUAGGUUGCAGAACAACUAUUUGGUAUUUUUGAAGAAACUGAUGAGGAUAAGGUUUUACCACCUUCGGAAAGAGUUGAGGAAAUGUUAGAUAAAGUCUGGAACAUAAAAACUCCUAAGUUUUUGCUUUGUCUGCUUCAUAAGGAAAAUAAUAUAUAUGGUUAGUUCUUUGAUAUAUUUUCAUGUUCUGUUUAUUUUUUUUUAAUGCAAUUGUUAUAUGCCCUUAAUCCAAAUUAAUUGGCUAUGCGAAGGUCCAUGGAAGAAGGCAUUUCCUGUUAAUCGUGGAAUUUUUACACUGUGCAUAGCUACUCCAAAUAAGAAGGCCGUAAACAUGUAUCUGGCAAAUGUGUUGUUGAAGAAAUCAACAACACAUUUACCGAAUACUGCUUGUUUACGGCCUUCCUUCUUAUCUGGAGGAGGUAUGCAUUGUGUAAAAAUUCCAUGAUCAACAAGACAUGCCUUUUUCUAUGGACCUUCACAUAGCCAAUUAAUUUGGAUUAAGAAGGGCAUAUAACAGUUGAGUUAAAAAAAGUAAACAGAACGUGAAAAUAUAUCAAAGAACUAACCAUAUAUAUUAUUUUUCUUGUGAAGCAGACAAAACAAAAAUUUAGGAGUUUUUACAUUCCGGACUUUAUCUAACAUUUCCUCAACUCUUUUCGAAGGUGGUAAAACCUUAUCCUCAUCAGUUUCUUCCAAAAUACCAAAUGGUUGUUCUGCAACCUACGAAAAGUAAACAGAAUGAAGUUAAGAACUUGACGAGAUUUUUAUGCUUAUCGGUUAAUAUGUUGUAACAGACUUACAAUUUCGUUGGUUUUCCUGGAUUUAAUCAACCGCUUCAUAAAGGUACUCGAAUCUAAUAGACAAGAAAAGUUUACAACACCCUACUUCUCUAUUGUAACAGCUUUCUUCAUUUUCUAGAAGCAUUAUUAAAUCAUUAGGGAAUGAUUAAAA